rnacentral:snRNA from 1 species
GGAUGUGAGGGCGAUCUGGCUGCGACAUCUGUCACCCCAUUGAUCGCCAGGGUUGAUUCGGCUGAUCUGGCUGGCUAGGCGGGUGUCCCCCUCCUCCCUCACCGAUCCAUGUGCGUCCCUCCCGAAGCUGCGCGCUCGGUCGAAGAGGACAACCUCCCCCCCCACCCCCAGAAGAGGACCGGUCUUUGGUCAAGGGUAUACGAGUAGCUGCGCUCCCCUGCUAGAACCUCCAAACAAGCUCUCAAGGUUCAAAUGGCAUCCUUUAUCCCUUUGCCCAACUUCCCACCUACUGUGCCAUUGAUAAUGGUCAUCUAU